GUUAUGGUUAUACUUCACGUGUGUCAAACUCUACUUUAUUAUCUUGGUACUUGCCCACAGAGGAUACAGACAUGGACACUGACUGAUUGGCCACGCCUCAAACUCCGUUAUUCAGCCUCUCCAUGUGCAAACUUUUCCUGAAGUACUAAAUUGGACUCAACACAAGCGACAGAUGUGAUGAACUGACAGCUGUUUGGCUCAUUUGAACCUGGGUGGAGUCACCUUUCGAAAACAUAUCAGUAUGGCUUCUUCUGUUUUCUUGUUUGAAAUGACAUUACCCAUGUUACUAUUUUGGACUAGCACCUUGUCAAAAAAGAAAAACAAACA